GUGCUCGCUUCGGCAGCACAUAUACUAAAAUUGGAGCAAUACAGAGAAGAUCAGCAUGGCCCCUGCGCAAGGAUGACACGCAAAUUCAUGAAGUGUUCCAUAUUUUU
rnacentral:snRNA from 1 species